CUACGGGAGGCAGCAGUGAGGAAUUUUGCGCAAUGGGGGAAACCCUGACGCAGCGACGCCGCGUGGAUGAUGAAGGCCUUAGGGUCGUAAAAUCCUGUCAGGUGGGAAGAAGUGGAUAUAGAUUAAUACUCUAUUUCUUUGACGGUACCACCAAAGGAAGCUCCGGCUAACUGCGUGCCAGCAGCCGCGGUAAUACGGAGGUGUGCAAACGUUGUUCGGAAUUACUGGGCGUAAAGCGCGCGUAGGCGGUUGGUUAAGUCAGAUGUGAAAGUCCAUGGCUCAACCAUGGAAGUGCAUUUGAAACUGGCAGACUUGAGUACUGGAGGGGGUGAUGGAAUUCCCGGUGUAGAGGUGAAAUUCGUAGAUAUCGGGAGGAAUACCGGUGGCGAAGGCGAUCACCUGGCCAGAUACUGACGCUGAGGUGCGAAAGCGUGGGGAGCAAACAGGAUUAGAUACCCGCGUAGUC
rnacentral:rRNA from 1 species